rnacentral:tRNA from 1 species
GGCUCGGUAGCUCAGUUGGUAGGGCAACGGAUUGAUGCUCCGUGUGUCGGCGGUUCGAUUCCGUCCCGCGCCA